GCUCUGGUGGCCUAGUGGUUAGAGUGUCCGCCUCAGAUUCGUGAGGUUGUGGGAUCAAUCCCCAGUAGAGUCA